rnacentral:rRNA from 1 species
CCUACGGGAGGCAGCAGUGAGGAAUAUUGGUCCAUGGUCGGGAGACUGAACCAGCCAAGCCGCGUGAGGGAUGAAGGUACAGAGUAUCGUAAACCUCUUUUGUCAGGGAACAAAGGCGGGGACGCGUCCCCGGAUGAGUGUACCUGAAGAAACAGCAUCGGCUAACUCCGUGCCAGCAGCCGCGGUAAUACGGAGGAUGCGAGCGUUAUCCGGAUUUAUUGGGUUUAAAGGGUGCGCAGGCGGUCUGUUAAGUCAGCGGUCAAAGCCCGGGGCUCAACCCCGUCCCGCCGUUGAAACGGGCAGUCUCGAGUUGGAGAGAAGUAUGCGGAAUGCGCGGUGUAGCGGUGAAAUGCAUAGAGAUAAUACAGAACACCGAUUGCGAAGGCAGCUUACCAAACUACGACUGACGUUGAGGCACGAAAGCGUGGGGAGCAAACAGGAUUAGAUACCCCAGUAGUC